UGAAUUAUGGGAGCAGUGGCAACAAGCUCAUCUUUGGAAUUGGGACUCUGCUUUCUGUCAAGCCAA